UACGAAGGGGGCUAGCGUUGCUCGGAUUGACUGGGCGUAAAGGGCGCGUAGGCGGAUAGUACAGUCAGGCGUGAAAUUCCUGGGCUCAACCUGGGGGCUGCGUUUGAUACGUAUUGUCUGGAGUUCGGAAGAGGGUCGUAGAAUUCCCAGUGUAGAGGUGAAAUUCGUAGAUAUUGGGAAGAACACCGGUGGCGAAGGCGGCGACCUGGUCCGAUACUGACGCUGAGGCGCGAAAGCGUGGGGAGCAAACAGG
rnacentral:rRNA from 1 species